GAUGAACGCUGGCGGCGUGCCUAAUACAUGCAAGUCGAACGAAUCUUCUUCGGAAGAUGAGUGGCGAACGGGUGAGUAAUACAUAGGUAACCUGCCCCUGUGCGGGGGAUAACAGGAGGAAACUCCUGCUAAUACCGCAUAGCCAUGAGCACCGCAUGGAGCUCAUGCCAAAUAUCCUUUAUGGGAUAGCGCAGGGAUGGACCUAUGGCGCAUUAGCUGGUUGGCGGGGCAACGGCCCACCAAGGCAACGAUGCGUAGCCGGCCUGAGAGGGCGGACGGCCACAUUGGGACUGAGACACGGCCCAGACUCCUACGGGAGGCAGCAGUAGGGAAUUUUCGGCAAUGGGGGAAACCCUGACCGAGCAACGCCGCGUGAGCGAAGAAGGCCUUCGGGUCGUAAAGCUCUGUUGUAAAGGAAGAACGGCGCAUACAGGAAAUGGUAUGCGAGUGACGGUACUUUACCAGAAAGCCACGGCUAACUACGUGCCAGCAGCCGCCGUAA
rnacentral:rRNA from 1 species